rnacentral:sRNA from 1 species
CAUGCCCCUUAUACGCUGGGCUACACACGUGCUACAAUGGGUAGUACAGAGAGUCGCAAAGCCGUGAGGUGGAGCUAAUCUCAGAAAACUAUUCUUAGUUCGGAUUGUACUCUGCAACUCGAGUACAUGAAGUUGGAAUCGCUAGUAAUCGCGAAUCAGCAAUGUCGCGGUGAAUACGUUCUCGGGUCUUGUACACACCGCCCGUCACACCACGAGAGUUGGUUGCACCUGAAGUAGCAGGCCUAACCGUAAGGAGGGAUGCUCCGAGGGUGUGAUUAGCGAUUGGGGUGAAGUCGUAACAAGGUAUCCGUACGGGAACGUGCGGAUGGAUCACCUCCUUUCUAAGGAGUAUAAGUCUUUCUCUAUUCUAUUGGUAAUGUUCUUUACAUUACUUCUGAACAUUUGAAACUAUAUAGUAGAACAAACAAGAAAAAAAUUAACUCUAACAAUUUCUUAGAGUUAGCUGUCAAAAAAUAGGUUAAAAUAAUUAAGGGCACACAAAGGAUGCCUAGGUAGUAAGAGCCGAUGAAGGACGUGGUAAGCUGCG